rfam:Folsomia candida strain VT population Fcan01_Sc014, whole genome shotgun sequence.
GAAGGCUGAAAGACAUGGGUAGUGGAGAUGUGGCCCUCAAGUGAUCAUCUCACUACCUUGUCUUUCACGCUUUA